rnacentral:lncRNA from 1 species
UGAGCUGGUUGGCCCUGCUGAGGGAAAUUCGCGAGCCGCUCGGGACCCUGGGCCUGGUUCCCUGCCCUCGGAAGACGACUGGCCACGGAGUCGUCGGCCGGGUGGGGGAGGAAGGACGGAGCCAGGGACCCGGGACUCACUCCACUUUGCAAGGAGCGGACGCCAACAGGCACCAUGAGUGCAUUCUGAGCCCCAGGACGGUGGGAA